UACGAAGGGUGCAAACGUUGCUCGGAAUUAUUGGGGCGUAAAGCGCACGUAGGCGGCUUUGCAAGUCGGAUGUGAAAUCCCUCGGCUAACCAAGGAAGUGCAUCCGAAACUGCAGAGCUUGAGUACUUAAGAGGAUCGCGGAAUUCCCGGUGUAGAGGUGAAAUUCGUAGAUAUCGGGAGGAACACCGGGUGGCGAAGGCGGGCGAUCUGGGUCGAGUACUGACGCGUGAGGUGG
rnacentral:rRNA from 1 species